UACAGAGGGUGCGAGCGUUAAUCGGAAUUACUGGGCGUAAAGCGUGCGCAGGCGGUUUUGUAAGUUUGUCGUGAAAGCCCCGGGCUCAACCUGGGAAUUGCGAUGAAGACUGCAAGGCUUGAAUCUGGCAGAGGGGGGUAGAAUUCCACGUGUAGCAGUGAAAUGCGUAGAGAUGUGGAGGAACACCGAUGGCGAAGGCAGCCCCCUGGGUCAAGAUUGACGCUCAUGCACGAAAGCGUGGGGAGCAAACAGG
rnacentral:rRNA from 1 species